GAUUACCAGCGUGUAACUAGGCCUUCAGCAAGACGGCUAACAGAUUCCCGGGCUCGGCUGGCUCGCGGGCUCGUAUCUCAGUAUCUGAUAAUUGGAGUGGUAAUUACGCGAUGAUUAACAGAGAUGGCUCCCGCGCACCAUGCCUCCUACGGGCUUCGAUCCGCUCUGGAUCCACGAUCCUUUACCAUCUACUUCUGCCACGGGAGAUCCAAGAUCCUAGAUAGCCAUGUUCAGGAUAUGUACACUAUCUUUGUACACUGAUCACAUAAACAAGACUAUACUAUAUUCAUCAACUGAUUCAUUCUCACCCAUGAUUGCCAGUGUCUUACAAAGCUCUGAGUUAUCACGAAGACAACCUAGGACACUGUAUCCUGUUAAGGAUUGAGGAACAAGUCGUUAUUGGUGUAACUGUAAAGCAAUGCAGAUAACAUAUGUAAACACGGCCGAGGGUGAUGAAUCCUGUAGCCGUUUUGUUAGGUGAAUGUAAAGUAAAUGCAAGUAUACGUAAGUGAAGUAACGGACCGAUCGACGCCGGUCAUACCAACUCUCAUAAAUCGGUUGCUAUCUCGCAAUUAACUCUCUAUCAAUUACGACCGGUAGAACCCAUUUGAAUUUCAAUCGGUUACAAAAGGGAAACUCGCAUGUCUAUACUUCAGACUUGACAGAUCUAUGAAAAACUUGGAAAACCAAUGGAGCUUGCACAUACGCUAUAUAGGGAUGGAAGACAGCAUGUGGAACGCAUCUCACUCUCUUUUUCUCUCUUUCUUAUGCAGAGAGAGAGAGAGAAGAGACACGUACAGGUAGGCAGUCUCAAGCAGUCAGGAAGAUGGAGGCACGAGACGUUGAG